CGGGCUGUAGCGCAGCUUGGUAGCGCAUCCGCUUUGGGAGCGGAGGGUCGCAGGUUCAAAUCCUGUCAGCCCGA
rfam:Actinoalloteichus sp. GBA129-24, complete genome.